GACGAGCGUGGCAAGCGUUAUUCGGAAUCAUUGGGCGUAAAGCGUCUGUAGGGGGAUCUUCACGUCGGGUGUAAAAGCCAGAGGCUCAACCUCUGCGACGGCAUCCGAUACGGAGGAUCUAGAGGACUGUAGAGGCAUAUGGAAUUCCAGGAGUAGGGGUAAAAUCCGUAGAUACCUGGAGGAACACCGAUAGCGAAGGCAAUAUGCUGGGCAGCUCCUGACCCUGAGAGACGAAAGCGUGGGUAGCAAACGGG
rnacentral:rRNA from 1 species